rnacentral:rRNA from 1 species
UACGUAGGGUGCGAGCGUUGUCCGGAUUUAUUGGGCGUAAAGAGCUCGUAGGCGGUUUGUCGCGUCUGGUGUGAAAAUCCAGGGCUUAACCCUGGACCUGCAUCGGGUACGGGCAGACUAGAGUGCGGUAGGGGAGAUCGGAAUUCCUGGUGUAGCGGUGAAAUGCGCAGAUAUCAGGAGGAACACCGGUGGCGAAGGCGGAUCUCUGGGCCGUAACUGACGCUGAGGAGCGAAAGCAUGGGGAGCGAACAGG